GGGUCUGAGGUGCCACAGGGAAGCAGAAACUCAUCGAGAGAGGGGGGAGGUUGAAAGUCCGAGUUGCUUCUGGGUUCCUAUGGAAGGAUGUGAGCCUUACACAGUCGAUGAAAUAGAAUAUAAAAACCUGACUGCUGCAAUGAAUCAGCUCUACCACACACCUUACAAAGAUGUGGAUGAGGUAAAACCAGUCACGGUAGAAGGAGGACAGCAUUGCAGUGGCACUGGAAGCAUUCAUGUGGAUCCCAUAUAGAGCAAAGAAAUGUAGACUGUAUCGCACACAGCCCGUGACACUGCAUGUCAGCUUCUGUGGAAGUACUGCAGGAACAGUCAACUACCCAGAUGACAGCCAAAGUAUGUGCUGUAGAAGAUAC